rnacentral:lncRNA from 1 species
AUUUCCAUUUUUCAGUGCUUCAUCUUACUAUGCAAUGCUUAGUGCUCUAGCCCCCAGAAACAAGUUGUUUCCAGGGGAAUAAAACAAAAACAAAAACAAACAAUCAAACCAAACCAAACCAUCUACUUUUCUAUCUUGCAUGUGUGUGUUAAAGGAAUGUUUUUCACUUUCAUCGUUUCAGGGAAAACUUGAUAACAUGAUCCCAGUGAGUGUUCCCCAUAAGCUCAAAAUCCAGAAGUUUAAAGAUCCUGAUUUCUAAUCUUGGGUUGUGACUUCAGCAGUGCUGCCACAAGGAUAUAGCUAUGGACCCCAUGUUGCAUCUGCCACAACGGUGGGACUCUCAGAUCCCUUAUGCGUUUCAAUGGCAUUGCAUGGCCAUGUGUAUCAUGGCUGAACGUAUCUCCAGUUCAUCUGUCAGAGAAGUGUCAAAAAGAAAAGGCUAAUAGGAAUAUCUGCUACAUAUCCUUUCAUAUC